rnacentral:rRNA from 1 species
CCCUUAGAUGUUCUGGGCUGCACGCGUGCUACACUGAUAUUGCCAAUAUGUCAUUCUUAUCCGAAAUGGAUUGGGUAAUCAAGUAAUGAAAUUUCAUGCUUGGAAUCGGUAAUUGCAAUUUUAUCGUGAACGAGGAAUUCCUAGUAAGCACUAGUCAUCAGCUAAUGUUGAUUAUGUCCCUGCCCUUUGUACACACCGCCCGUCGCUACUACUGAUUGGGUGUUCAAGUGAGAUGCUUAGACCCUUGUUGCAUGGUUCAUUAUUGUGCUCCGAAAGGAAAAAGUUUCAAGCUUGAGGGCCUAGAGGAAGUAAAAGUCGUAACA